UUGAAGCUGGCUUCAUGACUCGGAACCUGAGGGAUAAGUAUUAUGACUCCAACGUAUCCUACCUGAACAGAUUGAUCCGGCGCUUUGCCUUAGAAGUUGUAAGGCAAAAAUUUGACGGAUCUCUUGAACAUUCUGCUCAUGAUGAUUAUCAGUAUGAUUUUGUUGCUAGACUUGAAGAAGAUGCUGAGAAUCAUUGCAGGGACAGCCUUGUAAACUCUGAUCCAGCUUCUGAGGAGAAAGGAAAUGUUGCAUCAUGUGCCUCCACAUGCAGCAACGGAAACUGAGGAAUGGAUGGUGCCAUGAAGGAGAAAGGGUUAGGAAAGAUGGAUCGCGAUUUCAUUUAUGCUCCCUUCCAAUUGGUGUGCUGCAUGAAGCGGACAUGCUUUUCAAGCUAUGUGUUGGGUUCAAGUUUAAUUGUGUCAAACAUACCUUUUACCAAUCUAGCUUAUAUAUUUGGACCAAAUUCACCCCAAUAUUUUUGUGUUGAUACCUUUAUCCUCUCUUUCUCUUUCAUAUCUGUGGAAAUAAGAUGGGGUAGUUUUGUUUCGUGUCAACAGCUUUUACCAAUCUAGCUUAUAUAUUUUACGUCUCAAA